CUGGCAUCAGUGGUUUUCUUAAACUUGUACCUAUAACACGCCUCAGGGAGGCUAAAGAAGUGGAAUAUUUUUGUGUGAUUGUGAAAAAGAGUGUUCUUGUGUGAAUGAGAGAGUUUGGUGUUUGCCUAAAAAUGACUGUAAUCAAGAGGCGUUCAAAUCUUGUUGCUAGAUCAGGAGAAUACUAUUGUUCCGGCAGUAGGCCGAAAUAGUGAGGAGAAAAUUUGCGGUAUUCCAUGUGAAACUGGGAAUCUGAAAGAAAAUGGCUACAUGAUUAAUCCACCCGUCAAGCUGUGAGAGCUCUAGGCAGGAAGCAAUUUAUGAAGAUUGGUUUCUGAGUGUUGCCCCCUCAAUGCGAGUGAGAAUGAAGAGUUUUCAACUAAAGUUCUGGGUCUGGUUAGCAUCAACUUAAACUGACUGCUCUGGUGUUGUUUGUCAACGUCACUUGAAGCCUUGCUUCUAAAAGCCCGAAAUUGUAUGUGUAUUGUAUUGGGCGGCUGCGUGAGUAAAUUUGUCAUAAUUUUAUGCUAAAUUUGCAAAAAUCUCGUGCAAUUCUCUCGACAUUUAAUUCGAAAUGAAAUAUCAACAAUUAUCAAAAUCAUCACAUCUGUAGAGGCUUAAACAGAGCGAGGUUGUUGUUAUGAUGUAUUGUAUAUUUUAUUCUUCAACCAAAUCGUACAUACAUACAUGCAAACAAACAGACAAACGUAUUCUAGAAACAGAAAGAUAAACAGCUCGAAGAAUGUGAAAGAGUUUAUUCUUGAGAAACGAAUUGAAAAUUAUUAGCCAGAAAAAUCUCGAAUCAUCUACACCCUCUUGAAUCUGAAUCAGAGAAUGUAUCACGAAUGAGAUAUUAGAAGAGUGCAUUGUGUGCGCUGUGUGUGGUAUAGAUGAGAGAGAGAGAGAGAGUGAGUGUGUGAUGAUGUAUGCGCGAAUUUUGAUGAACGAGAAUGAAUCACACGCGAGAUUGAUCAUAAUAAGUUCGAGAGAGCGAGAAUGAUAAAAAUGAGAGAGGAUUCAGAUGAAGUCAGGCACAUCAAAUGAGGUUUUUAAGACAGAGAGAGAAACAACACACAUAUUCUCAAAAGAAGACUUGUAAAAACCCACGUCCAACUGACAGCUAUCUAUCUAACUAAACUCUAAGAAAGAACGCCCCCUGGGCUCAGAGAAUCUUGAGAUACUUAGAGUUAUCUAUCACCCAUCAAUGUAAGAAUAUUUUGUAAAUCUAAAAAAAAAAUGUAGAGCGAAAAGAAUAAAAAAAAUAGAAUCACCACCAUCCCCAUCAACGUUAAGGGUUAAGUGUUUUAGAGAUUUUAUAUACAUCUACUCUUUAUACUAAUCGAUAAGCACAUAAAUCCCCGUUGAGAGGUACAAGAAAACAUCCAACCCAACAAAAUCAUUAUUAUGAUGUGUUCGUUUAGUUGACACCAUCACCACUACUACCAUAUACCACAGUGUAUUAAGAUUACCAUAUAAGCCUUAACUGAUUUUGAUUGAUAUUCUGUUCUAUUUUUUCGUCAUACACGUUUGUUCUACAACUAUCUUUUAAGCAUUCUUCUCAGUAUAUCUAUUAUAGUUCAUACGUACUUUUUAUAUACAUUCUUCAUUUUCUGAAAACCAAGAAAGAAAAAAAUAUUUCACAGAAAGCAAAAAAUUAUACUGAAGCAAAACAAAAAAAAAACAAAAGAAUUAUUUCAAAAGAAAAAAUCUUAAAAAAGAGAAACCGCAUAAAAAAAAAUGAAGAAGAAAAGAUUUUUGAAGAAAUAAUAAAUAUAUGAUGAAACCUUAUUUUUCUAUAAAACCAAAUCUCUGUCAAUUGUUUUUCCUUUCAAAACAACACCAACAAGAAGCUUUGAACUGCUAGCCUCUCCCAAAAUGUCUCGUUUUUUUAUCGGACAUGGGUUUUGCAGCCAAAGAGCCAACAGCUACCUUCCUCCCCCUUCACCUUACAGUUAUCCCAGCCACAAAGGGGUUACGUUAGUGACACGUAUGAAUAAUCCAUUUACGUUCUCUCAACGUAGGCUACUGAACAAAGUGAGUAAAAUUUACUAUUUUAUAUAUUACACAUAGCAAAAGGAACGUAAUUUUUUAAACAAUUAAGGAGUUGAAUAAUUAAGAAAAAAUUAACAUGAUACGAAAAAAGUCAGGGUUAUAGCAACAUAACGAAAUAAGAAAAAAACGUCAGAUAAUUUAUUAAUAAUGAAAUGUCGAAUAGAGAAAACUGCGUUCAGAAUUUAUAUAAAAUUUAUAAAAGCAAUCCAAGUUUGAUGAGAAUGACAAAUUCUAAAAUCUACGUUAAUGACCAAGAAUAUUUUUAACGUAAUGCAUAUGAAAAUCAUUUAAGAGUUACUGACUCAAAAUAAAUUUUAUCCAAAAAAUAACAAUCUGCGAUCAGAAUCACAGCUAACAAGUCUGUUUAUUAUUUGAAAAAGGGUUUACAACAUUUACAUAAACGAUUAACAACUAAAUAGAGGCUAAUACGAAAAUGAGGUUAAAAAAAUUAGUAUCUGCGUUCAGAAGCACAUUUAAAUGCGUAUAAAUUUAAGCUAAAAAUAUGUGUACAGGAUUCUGCGUUAAACCAUAUUUACUGAAAAGCGUUUCUAUUUCCAAACAAUCCGUCGAAAAUUUAAGCACUGCGUUCAACGUUACACUUAAGACGUCGAAAAUAUAAUCGGGUAUUAUGAUUAUUAAUUUGGUUUUUGUAUCACUAACAUUAAAUAAAAUAUCUGAAAUCAGAAGUACAUUGAAAAGUUUUAAAUAUAAAAAUAGGAAAGCGUCAAAUAUAAAAAUUAAUCAUAUGCGAAUCUGCGUCAAACAACAUUAAUCGCCAAUAGCUUUAGAAUACAAUGCGAGCCGUCGAAUAUUUAAAAUCUCCGUUUUGCGUUUUUUAGUACUCAGAGUUUAAUGGGUUAUUACCAAUAAUAUAUGAAAUUUGACAAGCAAUAAAGCACUGUAUCCUUAAUUUGUAAUGCUAAAAAUGUAUGUUCAGGAAUAGGAGUUAAAAAUUUUUUUAUUGCUAAAGAAAUGAAUGAACAGCAAGCCGUCGAAAAUUUAAACACUGCGAAAAUAUGUUCAACUGCUUUGACUGCUCAGUUAUUAUUAUUUUUUAUCAAUAACAUUAAAUAACAACAUUUGCCUUCAGAAGCACAUUUGAAAAAUUAUAAAUAAACAAAAUAGGAAAACGUCAAAUAUUUACUGAAUAUUUUUGAAAAAAUAAUUACAUGCGAAUCUGCGUUAAGCUACGUUAAUCGCCGAAAGCGAAGCGUCAAAAAUUUAAACACUCCGUUUAGGGUAAUUUAGUAGUCAUGUGUUAAUAGGGUCAAUAUCAAAUUAUAUAUCACAUUUCACAAACAAUUGAGCAGCAUAUUUGAAUUGUUUUUGUCUGCGUUCAGAAAAGUGCGUAUAAAAUUAUUCAAAGCGUUUAAACUUAAAAGGAGAGCGAACACACCAAAUAGGUAAAUACUAAAAAUAUAUGUUAAAGAAUCUGCGUUAAAUCACAUUUAUUGGUAAAGUUUUGAAUAAAAAAUAAGCCGUCGAAAAUUUAAGCACUGCGUCCAGCUAUACACCUUACACAAAAAUAUGUUAAAAUGCGUUCAAUACCAAGGUCUUAUUUUUUUUUAACUAAAUAACAACAUUUGCGUUCAGAAGCACAUUUUACAAGUUAUAAAUAUAUUCAUUUAUAAGUGUCUAUGCUAAACAGGAAAGCGACGUAUAUGAAAACUAUAUUUUUAAGAAAGUAACGACAUUCGAAAAAAUGUAUUAAAAGUUAAACCGCAUUAACCGCCAAAAAUUUAACCGUUGAAAAUUAAAACACUCCGUUAAGCGUUAUUUAGUACUGAGUUCCUAAAUGGGCCAAUAUCUAAUUUUAUAUGACAUUUAACAAACAAUAGAGCAUCAUAGUAUUUUUUUUUUUGUCUACGAAUGAAAUCAUGAAUUUGUCUGCAUUCAGAAAGGUAUUUAAAUGCGUAUUAUACCAAUCGAAGUUUCUAAACGUAAUAGGCGAGCGACCAAAAUAUAAAUUCUUGAAGAGGUUAUGACAAACAUAUACAAAAUAAAUAUGCGUUAAAUUAACUACGUUGCAUGUAACUACGAACACAUGAAAUAUAAGGUUACGCGUCAAAUUUACGGCAUUUAGAAUCGUUAAAAAUAUCAAGAGUUGAAAAGCGUUGAAUGUUACAAAACACUGUUAUAUAUGCAAGAUUUAGGAAUAUCUGCGUUGUAAUAAUUUAUUUGAUUAGGCUAACAAUACUUUUGGUUUACAUAAAGUAAUCUGCGUUCAAAUCUGACACACAGCGUAUGAUAUAAUGAAAAAUAAUUUCCGAAAUGACAAAAAUAAUUAGCUUUAAUUAUGGCUUAGCUUCACUUCUAGUAAAGUGUCUAUUAACUUCCUUUAAUUGACUAUGACAGAACAUUUGUUCCACUAGCUGAACGUAGAAUAGCGUUCCAAGCGCCUCGAUCUUCUGUCCUCAUUUAAUAAUCUCUGAUACCAAGUUUCGAGGUGUCUCCCACCACUUGGUCUUUCUACCGGGCUUUUGGUCAUCCCGGUUUGCGUGUACCACCGUUUUUGCCUUCAAAGGACUUCUUUGCAGGAUCUUCUUCAUCCAUUCUGACAACAAGACCUAGCCAUGGCAGUUGUAUUUUGAUACGUCUUUGUCUUAAAGCUCGUUGUUAUACGACGCUUAUAUUCUCCAUUAAAGCAAACUGGUUCAAAUAUUUCAGGAAGAGUCUUUCUCUCAAAUACUCCAAGAACUGCCUCAUCUGCUUUCAGAACUACACAUCAUAAUAUUUAUAAUAUUCCCAAAUUUUAAGUUCCGACUCAAAAUUAAGUUCCAAAAAAAAAAAUGCCUUUAGAAAUAAUUUGCGAGGCGACGACUAUUUAAAAGAAAAAUUCUUUCAAAAAAUAAAAUGUUAAAUGUUCAGUUUAAGGGACAAUUUUGCUAUAGAUUAACAAACAACCUCAUUCAAAACCUGAAAUAUAACCUUUUCAAGAAAACAAUUACAUACAAAUUGUCAAAAGGAAUUAAUUAGAACUUCUUGCUUUGAGACCUAAAUAAAAUUUUUUAAUACAUAGGCAGAAUAAAACGAUUUGAAAAUUUAGUGGAAACCUUAGUUUUGAUAAAAAUAGAUCUACUUUCAGAAUCUCAAUGGGUUCCCAGAACUAAGAAUAUUCAAAGAAACAACCCUACUAUAUCAAUUUAAACUUUUAAUAGCCAUCAAACAUAUUUAACAGAGAUAAAGAAGAAAACUUUCUUUAAAAAUAUUAAGAAUAAUGCAAUUUUUAUCAAGUAUAAGCAAAGAUUUUUUUGAGAUGAUGAUAAUAUCGAAGAGGAUAAAUAUGCGUUUAUAUUCUUAAAAGAGUACGAAAACUUUUCUAAAUAUCAAUAUCAUAUUUAAAAAAGCGUAGAAGAUGUGCACUUGUGAAGCACUUAAAGUUUCAAAAGGAUUUUUUUAGCAGAAUGUUCGAUUAGACCAAAUAUUAAGAGCGUUCCAAUUGGGUAUAUUUGAAAAAUGUAAUCAUAAUAUUCAUUUCCCGAAAAGUUAUAAGAGAAGAAAAAGAAAAAUCAAUUUUGAAAUAUGCGUUCAGAAUAUAAUUAACAUUAAAUAAUCGAGCGAUCGAAAAUAUUUUAUGUGAUUUUAUAAAAAAUGGCCUAUUUAAAAUAUAAAAAUUGAAGAAUCUGCGUUAAGGCGAAAAAAUUUAGUUAAAAAGCCGCACUAAAAAGUUUAAAAUAUAACUUCAUUAAAAUACUCUACAACUUAAAGUAACAUUCUUAAAUAGGAAUAACAAAUAAUAAGCAUUCCAAAUAAUAAUAACAUCGCUUCAAACCUUAAAUUAAUUCUCAAAUUAAAAGAAUUGCUUUUUAAAGCGAAUGGGUAAUCCAAAUAAAAUCUUAUGUUUCAAUGACUUUCAAUAUUUUAAUAUUAUUUCAAACAAAAAGAGCAAUCUUAAAAGAUAAUUGAAAAAAUUUGAUUUGAAAAUUUAAAUAACGCGAAAAGUUAAAGAAAUAGGCAAAUUAUGGCCAAAUUAGUAUGAAUGAUAACUUUAAGGGGAUAUCUCUAAAUUUAAAAACAUUGCAAAAAAAAUUUAAAACGUAAAAAAAUCGUAAGGCGCAAUAAAGUUGGAACCCUAUAGCUGCUAAAAAUAUUAAAAAUAAAAGAUAAUAAAUAAUUUCAAAAUAAACUAUAACAUAAUAUAAAAAAAGAAAUAUAAAAAUUAAACAAAAUCUUAAUCUUCGACCAUUCUGAGUAUAUAAAUUUAAUGACAUGAAUGAAUUAUGAUAAGUCAAUUUAUAUAUGUAAAAGCGGUCAUAUGGCGCCGGCAAAACAGUUAAUGGAAUUAUGGGUCAGAUGUUCAAUACUUUAAACCUUAUUGAAACUUUAACAUAUUGUACGAGUAAAUGCAAGACAUGCGAGUAUAGUUAUUAAUAGAGAAGCUUAGAGUUUAUGGAGCAAAAAUUUUGAAAUGGCAAAUAAAAUAAAAAAACUUGAGAGUCCAUCUUUUGGAUUGAAAUGGCGAUUUUAUUCGCAUGAAACAGUCUUAAAAUUUUAAAUUUAAAACUUUGUAGAUUUUUU
rnacentral:sRNA from 1 species